AUUGAACGCUGGCGGCAGGCCUAACACAUGCAAGUCGGACGGUAGCACAGGGGAGCUUGCUCCUCGGGUGACGAGUGGCAGACGGGUGAGUAAUGUCUGGGGAUCUGCCCGAUAGAGGGGGAUAACCACUGGAAACGGUGGCUAAUACCGCAUAAUGUCGCAAGACCAAAGAGGGGGACCUUCGGGCCUCUCACUAUCGGAUGAACCCAGAUGGGGUUAGCUAGUAGGCGGGGUAACGGCCCACCUAGGCGACGAUCCCUAGCUGGUCUGAGAGGAUGACCAGCCACACUGGAACUGAGACACGGUCCAGACUCCUACGGGAGGCAGCAGUGGGGAAUAUUGCACAAUGGGCGCAAGCCUGAUGCAGCCAUGCCGCGUGUAUGAAGAAGGCCUUCGGGUUGUAAAGUACUUUCAGCGGGGAGGAAGGCGAUGUGGUUAAUAACCGCGUCGAUUGACGUUACCCGCAGAAGAAGCACCGGCUAACUCCGUGCCAGCCGCCGCCGUAA
rnacentral:rRNA from 1 species